rnacentral:rRNA from 1 species
GAGACAGCAGUCGCCACGGUAAUACGUAGGUGGCGAGCGUUGUCCGGAAUUAUUGGGCGUAAAGCGCGCGCAGGCGGCCUAUCCAGUCUGUCUUAAAAGUUCGGGGCUCAACCCCGUGAUGGGAUGGAAACUAGUAGGCUAGAGUAUCGGAGAGGAAAGCGGAAUUCCUAGUGUAGCGGUGAAAUGCGUAGAUAUUAGGAAGAACACCAGUGGCGAAGGCGGCUUUCUGGACGAAAACUGACGCUGAGGCGCGAAAGCUAGGGGAGCGAACGGGAUUAGAUACCCCCGUAGUCCCUGUCUCUUAUACA